rnacentral:rRNA from 1 species
UGUUGAUCCUCCCAGUAGUCUUAUGCUUGUUUCAAAGAUUGAGCCAUGCAGGUCUAAGUAAAAACCGCUUAAUACAGGUGUAACUGCGAAGGGCUCAUUAUAUCAGUUAUUAUUUAUUUGUUAGUACAAUAACUACUUGGUUAACCGUGGGAAUUCUAGAUCUAAUACAUCCUAAAAUUCGCGACUUCUGGAAGGGAUGUUUUUAUUAGAAAAAAAACCAUUAUCGGGCAACCGAUUCCAGUGGUGAUUCUUGAUAACUUUUCGAAUCGUUCGGCUUCAACCUGACGAUGCAUCAUUCAAUUUUCUGCCCAAUCAACUUUGGAUGGUAGGUUAGAGGCCUCCCAUGGUGGUAACGGGUAACGGGGUGUUAGGGCACGACACCGGAGAGGGAGCCUGAGAAACGGCUACCACAUCCAAGGACGGCAGCAGGCGCGCAAAUUACCCAAUCCCUACACGGGGAGGUAGUGACAAUAAAUAACAUUACAGGGUUUUUUUGGAUCGUGUAAUUGGCAUGAGUACAAUUUAAAUCUUUUAACGAGGCACAAUUGGAUGGCAAGUCUUGUGCCAGCAGCCGCGGUAAUUCCAGCUCCAAUAGCGUAUAUUAAAGUUGGUGCAGUUAAAAAGCUCGUAUUUGAAUUUCGGAAUCAAUACAUCGGUCGUCCCUUGGUACUUACUGGUAUGAUUGGUUUCCCCUUUCUGACGAACCAUGAUGUCAUUAAUCUGGUGUUAUGGGGAGUUAGGACUGUUACUCUGAAAAAAUUAGAGUGUUUGAAGCAGGCUGUAGCUUGAACACAUUAGCAGGGAAUAAUGAAAUAGGACGGUCGAACCUAAUUUGUUGGUCUCUAGGAUCAACGUAAUGAGUAAUAGGGAUAGUGGGGGGCAAUAGUAUUGAAUUGUCAG